GACGAACGCUGGCGGCGUGCUUAACACAUGCAAGUCGAACGGAAAGGCCCUGCUUUUGUGGGGUGCUCGAGUGGCGAACGGGUGAGUAACACGUGAGUAACCUGCCCUUGACUUUGGGAUAACUUCAGGAAACUGGGGCUAAUACCGGAUAGGAGCUCCUGCUGCAUGGUGGGGGUUGGAAAGUUUCGGCGGUUGGGGAUGGACUCGCGGCUUAUCAGCUUGUUGGUGGGGUAGUGGCUUACCAAGGCUUUGACGGGUAGCCGGCCUGAGAGGGUGACCGGCAACAUUGGGACUGAGAUACGGCCCAGACGCCUACGGGAGGCAGCAGUGGGGAAUAUUGCACAAUGGGCGGAAGCCGGAUGCAGCAACGCCGCGUGCGGGAUGACGGCCUUCGGGUUGUAAACCGCUUUCGCCUGUGACGAAGCGUGAGUGACGGUAAUGGGUAAAGAAGCACCGGCUAACUACGU
rnacentral:rRNA from 1 species